UCAAAAUAUUUUUUAGCUACUUUUGUCAAAAAGCUAAAUAUUUUGUAAGGUCUCAAUAUGCAUGUCGGCCCUCUCUUUAUCACGCUGUAACACACCAUCUCUUGGGUUUUGCCGUGACAGUAGGUAACAAGGCUUCCAGGCUCUCUUCAACGCCUCCAAGCUCCCCUUUCUCCAAACACAAAAGGAAGAUGAAAACUACAAAUCCCCAUCUGCCCACCCUGCAGUUCCUGGGAAGAGACCGUCCUCAAAUUGUUCCUGCUUAGACCCCUGAAGCCUGGAGAAGGAGAUGGGGACAGGUGUGGCAGCGGAACUGCAAAGAAAUGUCAAGCACAUGACCGCAGCUAGACAAUCCAAGGCAAGAUGAAUGUCAGAAGAUUUUGGCUUCCUGGAAAAAACUCACCAUGGACUUUGGUUAUUCAGAAUUAGCUACUUCUUCUGUAAGGCUAUCAGUAUUCUGGAUUAACAGAAGAAAAUAGCCACCCGACCUCCAGAUGAUUUUCCACCUGUGCCUGGCAAGACUGGGGAAAACCCUGGGGCUACACUCGGGUGUCUGAUGACUGAGGGUUUCACAGAAGAGGCCUCUCCUGACUCAGCUUGGAGGGACUCGUCUGUUAGGAACAGCGUGAGCCUAGGAAACCUUCACCACGAACUUUGUGUUAGAUCAUGAGCCCCAGCAUUUGGGAACAACUGAAACAUAUCUCUAAAUCUUACAGAUUAUAAUACUGUUUAAAAUCUAGGCCUUAAAAAUACAGUAAACAUUAAAGCUUCUGGGAUUCCUAA